CGCGGUCGGGCCUCCCGCUAGGUCGCCUUUUGCGCGGUAGAGCCGGAGUUAAGGAUGUUGGGCUCGUCGUUUUGCUGGAGAAUUUCGGGUAGAAAAUCACCCUUCGGGACGAUCGGAAAACUGCACCCCCGCCUCCCUGGCUGCCUUCCGUGCCUCGCUAGGGCCGCUCCGAGCGUGAGGGGAAUCGCGAAAGUGGCCGUUGCUCCAGAGCAGCGGCGCCCACAAAUGACAGAGCAGGGACCUCUUUUCCACAGGAUGAAGAAACUCAGGCCCGAGUCAAAGCUGAGACAAACUCUGGCGUAACUCCAAACACCAAUCUCUUAAUCAUCAUGCUACACAGCUAGAAGGGUUCUCUGUUCUCCUUGGACUCUGUUGAGGGACUAUGGAUAAAGUGAAGUGAGAAAAGAAAGAUAACAGAGUAAGCUCUCCUUUCCAACCUUCCAUUCCCUCAGUCAAACUCAAGAAAGCAAGAAUCAACUUUUGAGUCCAAU
rnacentral:lncRNA from 1 species